GACGAGGGACCUAGCGUUGUUCGGAAUCACUGGGCGUAAAGCGUUUGUAGGCGGCUCUAUAAGUCGGGUGUGAAAUCCCACGGCUCAACCGUGGAAGUGCAUUCGAAACUGCAGAGCUUGAAUAUGGUAGAGGAGAGUAGAAUUCCUGGUGUAGUGGUGAAAUGCGUAGAUAUCGGGAGGAACACCUGUGGCGAAGGCGGCCCCCCUGGUUGGAUACUGACGCUGAUACGCGAAAGCGUGGGGGAGCAAACAGG
rnacentral:rRNA from 1 species